GACGAACGCUGGCGGCGUGCUUAACACAUGCAAGUCGAACGGAAAGGCCCUGCUUUUGUGGGGUGCUCGAGUGGCGAACGGGUGAGUAACACGUGAGUAACCUGCCCUUGACUUUGGGAUAACUUCAGGAAACUGGGGCUAAUACCGGAUAGGAGCUCCUGCUGCAUGGUGGGGGUUGGAAAGUUUCGGCGGUUGGGGAUGGACUCGCGGCUUAUCAGCUUGUUGGUGGGGUAGUGGCUUACCAAGGCUUUGACGGGUAGCCGGCCUGAGAGGGUGACCGGCCACAAUGGGACUGAGAUACGGCCCAGACUCCUACGGGAGGAAGCAGUGGGGAAUAUUGCACAAGGGGCGGAAGCCUGAUGCAGCAACGCCGCGGGCGGGAUGACGGCCUUCGGGUUGUAAACCGCUUUCGCCUGUGACGAAGCGUGAGUGACGGUAAGGGGGAAAGAAGCACCGGCGAACUACGGGC
rnacentral:rRNA from 1 species